rnacentral:rRNA from 1 species
CAAAACUAGACUACUAGAGGACAGGAGAGGGAGGCGGAACUCCUAGUGUAGCGGUGGAAUGCUCAGAUACUAGGAAGAACACCAGUGGCGAAGGCGGCCUCCUGGCCUGCACCUGACGCUGAGAGGCGAAAGCUAGGGUAGCAAACGGGCUUAGAUACCCCGGUAGUCCUAGCUGUAAACGGUGGAUACUAGGUAUUGGGGACGAUAUGUUUUCAGUGCCGAAGCCAACGCGUUAAGUAUCCCGCCUGGGGACUACGGCCGCAAGGUUAAAACUCAAAGGAAUUGACGGGAGCCCGCACAAGCAGCGGAGCGUGUGGUUUAAUUCGAAGCAACACGAAGAACCUUACCUGGGCUUGACAUGUAUGUAGUAGGGAACCGAAAGGGGACCGACCCUUCGGGGAGCAUACACAGGUGCUGCAUGGCUGUCGUCAGCUCGUGUCGUGAGAUGUCGGGUUAAGUCCCGCAACGAGCGCAACCCCUGUUGCUAGUUACAUGUUCUAGCGAG